CGGUAGGUAGGGCUGGGAGGAUAGCCGUCUCCCGUUCCUGAAAACGGCUAUACGCAGGGGUCAGUAACCUGUGGGUAAAGCAUGCUGGUCGAGAUACCUGCCAGUCAUGCAUGGAUGAAGUCACGCCGUGGUGGGUAGUCACAAGAGGCGAAUCCUUCGAAGGAAGGAGAUCGACCUUCAACUGUUGAAUCGGGUGAGGUCCGGGAGGGAGCAACCCUAAGGCAGGGUGACUACGCUGUCACGUCCACGUGAUAGACUCAGCAGGCUGGAGAUGGGGCUUGAUCAAUAUGUGAAAACCAUAGGAGCUAUCG
rnacentral:SRP_RNA from 1 species